AUUCUUUUCAUUGUGGAUAAGCGGAAGGUGUGUUUUUUUACUAAUUUUUUCAUUCUGAAUGCGAAACAUGACCUGAAAAAAAAUCUUAUUCGAGGUUUUCUAUGAUCUUUGAUGAAAUUCGCGUUGGAAGUUCUCUUUCUUUGAUUGAAGUGCUGAGAAUAUGUUGUGGCAGUUCCAGUUUAAUUAACAUUAGUCACAUAUAUUUAUUUCUCAGAACUGAUGAGUAUGAAGGUAGAGAAGAUGCCAGCAGUGGGAGUCUGGUGUAACUCACCUCCACAAGAUGCAUCGGCAUUUUACUAAUAAUAAUACGGCGAUGGCGCAUAGAGUAUGCCUUUUACGUGUUUCUAAGUCUGAAUUAUUGCUUAUUGCUAGUGUUUUCCUUUCCUUAGGAGGGAGCUUUUCGGGGAUUUUAUACAAAAAAGCCCGUCAUUUUGAUAUAUAUAUAUCCAGUCUUUAGAUUAUUCGUUUAUAUGGCACCAAUGGUUGAGAACCACAAUUUUUCUUGGACACGUUCUUUGACUUGCGGGAGUUAGAGACUCUGAUCAGGAUAGGAUGAAGAAAUAAAGAGAAACUAAAGGUAUGAAUUUUAUUUAAUGGCAUGAAAUAACCGGAUUAUGAGAGUCCCAGCAGGCAUUUAACUUGCAUCAAAUAUUUUAUCAUCUCGCUUGUAUGGACAUCUUCUGCAUGCUUUGCUCAUUUUCUUUCUUGAAUGCAAUUUUUAUGAGGCAUCAUCUCAUGCGGCAUGCCUGCUUGUCUAAUCUGGGUAAUCUGGGUUUUAUCCUGCAGUUCUGAGAGAGGAUCACAGGCAUGAUGGCUCUUUCAUCAUCUGCUGGUCCUGGCCCAGAUAUUGGCCGGACCUGUGGUGGGGUUUCUCAUCAAGUUGACGAUUGGAGCGUGCUCAAUCAUUAAAGCUAUCUAUGAUGAAUAUUUCUAUUAAUCAUAUGAGGAUCACCGUUGAAAAGUGGCUCCUUCUUAGUUCGUGGGUUGAAGUAUUUUCAAGGAAGGGAUGAGGGUAUGAUCUGCAACAGACUUGAAAACAGUCUCCCUUCAGCUCCUAUCCAUAAACUUUCACAUUUAUGGGAACCCAUUCUUCUCAAGAUGCCCAUUGAUUCGGCAUAGGAUUUAAUGGAAAGAGAACCACAAGAAAGAUCAAAUCCAUCAAUGGGAAUGGGUGAAGCUCCUGCUCAACGAUUGGUCCCUACUUUUGUUAAUUUUAGGAGAUAUAUGUUGUUUAUUUUGUCGUAGGAUUUAG
rnacentral:lncRNA from 1 species